rnacentral:rRNA from 1 species
AGCACUAAAGGCGUAUGUUAAAGUUGCUGAAGUUAGAAAGCUCGUAGUUGAUGAUGAGGUGUGUGUAUUAUGGAAGAGAGAUUAUUCUAUCAACUAUAAUCACACAUUUAAUAACUUAUAUAUGUCUUUAUAUUAUUAAUUUAAUGUAGAGAAUAAACAUAUAUAUAAUUUACUUUGAAUAAAAUAUAAUGAUAAAAGUAUCCGUUAUAAUGGAUGUAUAAAUAAGCAUAGUAUAAUGAAAAAAGAUUUAUGAUUGGGGAUAUACAAUAGAAAAUAGAUAAUGAGGAAUAGAAAUAGGCGGGGUUAUCUGUAUUUAAUGCGAAGAGGUGAAAUUCUUAGAUUCAUUAAAGACAAACUUAAGCGAAAGCAUUUAACAAGUAUGUUUUCAUUGAUCAAGAAC